UACGGAGGGUGCGAGCGUUGUCCGGAAUCAUUGGGCGUAAAGGGCGCGUAGGUGGCGGCUUAAGCGUGCGGUGAAAGCUCGGGGCUCAACCCCGAGUCGGCCGUGCGAACUGAGUCGCUUGAGCACUGUAGAGGCAGGCGGAAUUCCGGGUGUAGCGGUGGAAUGCGUAGAGAUCCGGAAGAACACCGGUGGCGAAGGCGGUCUGCUGGGCAGUUGCUGACACUGAGGCGCGACAGCGUGGGGAGCAAACAGG
rnacentral:rRNA from 1 species